AGUGAACGCUGGCGGUAGGCCUAACACAUGCAAGUCGAACGGCAGCACAGGAGAGCUUGCUCUCUGGGUGGCGAGUGGCGGACGGGUGAGGAAUACAUCGGAAUCUACCUUUUCGUGGGGGAUAACGUAGGGAAACUUACGCUAAUACCGCAUACGACCUACGGGUGAAAGUGGGGGACCGCAAGGCCUCACGCGAUUAGAUGAGCCGGGGUCCGAUUUGCUAGUUGGCGGGGUAAUGGCCCACCAAGGCGACGAUCGGUAGCUGGUCUGAGAGGAUGAUCAGCCACACUGGAACUGAGACACGGUCCAGACUCCUACGGGAGGCAGCAGUGGGGAAUAUUGGACAAUGGGCGCAAGCCUGAUCCAGCCAUACCGCGUGGGUGAAGAAGGCCUUCGGGUUGUAAAGCCCUUUUGUUGGGAAAGAAAUCCUGUCGAUUAAUACUCGGUGGGGAUGACGGUACCCAAAGAAUAAGCACCGGCUAACUUCGUGCCAGCCGCCGCAGUAACAC
rnacentral:rRNA from 1 species